CCACACAUUGAUGUUUCUCUCCCUCUCUUUCUCCCUCCCCUCCCCUCUCUAAGAAUGGAUGGAUGAGAUCUUUUUUUAAAAAAAAGUUAAGAGAAUCUGAGUGACAUCCUAAAUUGGCAGAGAGGAAAUCCCAGCCUGUAUUUCCCCCACAAAUAUCAAUAAUUAGACACAUAUCCUUUAACAAACACAGCUCUGGGAGAGCUCUAGAGUCCACUUAAGAAACCAGCAACACAGUGGAACAAAAAACCUGAGAAUAACUGAAAAAGACAAAAAGGAAGACAGCUUCAUUUUGUCUGCAUCAUCCUACUAUACUCAAGCCCGCAUUGCCCAGUGCCAAGAGGAAACUGCUCAGCAAGAGAGAUCCUGUCACAGCGGGGUGCAGAGGGAGUAGUGUGAGUGACCAGCUUCCCCAGCAUUUGGAUGCACCACAUGAAAGUCCCACUUUGGUUUCACCCCAACCAAAAAUCAGUAAAUCUGAGACGUAUAGAUGGUUAGAAUCAACAAACAAAACCCAAGGCUACUAGUAGUAGGAGUAAUCAAGAUUUCCAGUGAUUUGCUCUGCAGAAAAACCCAGCGGCUCUCACACUGAAAAAAAUCAAUAGCAAGCACAGACCUCCUGCAAAUUUCACCGGCUUUCCUCUCACUGGUAUUUGCAUACACUGACACCACCAGCUACCCGAAUCCCUUCCAAGGCCCUAGCUCAAUGCAAGCCUCUGGCAGCUGAGAUCAUGUUAUUUUCUUUCUGUGUGUCUGUGUUAACAACACUUAAGAUAUAUUUUCUUAGCAAAUGUCAAGUAUACAUACCUGCUUUCAAUUAGUUGUUAGAUUAUUCCACCAUCUAUAUAAUCCCAGCUUUAACAUCUAUUUUCCCAGGUAAAUUGAGAUCUUCCAAAUUCUUCCUGUGCUCUGUAAUCUGGAUGUUUUACAUAGUGACUGAUGGUACACUAGCUCUUUUUCAAGUCCCCAAUUUUGUUUAUGCAGAUAGUCCAAAAUAAUUAAAUUUCAGCUUCAGCCCUGGCUGCUGUGGUUCACUGGAUUGAGUGCCAGCCUGCGAACCAAAGGGUCGCUAGUUCAAUUCCUAGUCAGGGCACAUGCCUGGGUUGUGGGCCAGGUCCCCGGCAGGGAGUGUGCAAAGAGGCAACCACACAUUGAUAUUUCUCUCCCUCACUUUCUCCCUUCCUUCCCCUCUCUAAAAAUAAAU